CUGAAAAUAUUCUCACUGUUCCGACAGGUAACAGUAUAGUAUAGUAUUCUAUAUAGUGAAUACUAUAUAGAAACCAUGCAUGUGUCCCCAGACCAGGUUCUCUCCCUAGGUUUGAUUUUACAAAUGCUGGUGAUAAAA